rnacentral:lncRNA from 1 species
CCUCAGCCUCCCAGUGUUCAGAAUCUAGUUUCUCUUAGGGGUAAGUCUGUGUUGACCUCAGCCAGCCUCCCUGCUAAAACUCAGAAGUUUGUCCUGUACUUGCUUGGACUCUGGAAAGUUCUUGGAGGAUGUUGUUCUUAUCUGAGGGCUGAGAGCUCAGAAAAGCCUCUUCUCCAUGCUGAUUCAAUUCACCCAUGAGAUCUCAAUAGUUCAAAGAUGUCCCUCAGACUUGGUUGUGAACUUCUGGUCUUACUUCGAUCUUGAUCAGAUCAAUCCAUAAAUUAUGGAAGUGAAUGAAAAAUGGGAAAUCAACCACCACCAAUACCAACAACAAACAGAUGUUAACCAUGUGCAGAUGCUUGACUAGUUUGAUGAAUCACUGAUUGGAUUUGGGACUUUUCACCUCAAGGUAAUCAGUCUGGGUUUAGCUCAGGUUUAACAGGUCA